GAAAAUGAAAAAUAAUUUUAAAAAGUCCUCUAUUUAAUGAUGGACUUGUAGCAGCCUAAAACACCAUUCUCCAAAGAAAUAUACACCUCACUUGGAAAUCCACUCCAUCUCCUUCACCAUCAACAUAAUUUGGCUAGAGCUUGGCAUCAACCUUUGAAGCAUUUUCCUUCGAUUUUCCUUCAUCAUUUCUUUCGGCUUCUUAAGGUAAGAUAUUCCGAUUUCUUGCUGCAAUUAAAUGGCAUCAAUAGUAUUAAAAUGGUUUUCAAAAUUACUUAAAAGAUUGGGGAAGAUUUCGAAGAAAUUAGUACUUUUGUGGAAAAAUGGAAAAUAUGUGUUUAUUGUUGAUUUCUUGUUCUUGCAUGCAUCAUGUGUGUUAGUGAGUAGAUAAAAGUCUUAUUGGCCAAAAGCAUAAAAAUUUUCGGAUUUCAAAAAGGUUUUGGAAGAAAAAUAAAUUUUUGGGGUUGCAUGUGUAAAUCUAUAGAUUUUUGGGUCAAAUCUGUAAUUUUCGAGAAGUCAGUCCUAAAUGUGUUUUCAAAACUGUUUUCCAGCAUUUAUAGAACAAAAUUUUCGGAUUUAAAGAAGUUUUGUGAGAAAAAGUGGUUUUUGAACUUUUAGUGGUAUUGCAUGUGAAGAUCUAGAGAUUUUGGGGUGAAAUAUGUAAUUUUCGAAAUUUCUGCAUACAGUUGCUUUUUAACUUAGUUUUCUGCAUUUGGUAAAGAACAAAAUUCAGAUUGUUAGGGUUUUUCAUGAAAAAGUGGAUUUUGAACUUUUAAUGUGGUUGCAUGUGCAAAUCUUGAAACUUUUGGGUCAAAACUGCAAUUUCCGAAAAAACCUCUCAUUUUUGAAGUUUGGAUCUGUUUUUCCAGUAAGUAUUAAAUGAGGAAGAAGUUUCCUUUACAAAGUUUUCAAAUUAAUUAAGGUCGCAUGAGAGUUUUGGAUUUUUAAAAGGAAAAAUGGAAUUUUCUAGUUUUUAAUUUCAAGAAAAUUCGAAACCUUGUGAAAAUUCAAAAUAAUUUCAAAAUCUGAAAUUUGGGUCAGUUAGGAGUUCUAGGAUUUAAUUAGGGAAUUUUUGGAAUUGGUUUGCUAUUAUUGCGUAAUUAGAUCAUUUUGCAUGUCAUGUAUUAUGUGUUGUGCUUUAAUUUCCAUGUUCGUGAAUUAAUAAUCAUGAAUGACGAAACUUGAGAUGUUGCACCUUGAAUUACUGCAUGGAUGUGAAUUAAUUGUUGUGGGAAUAUAUUUUGGAAUGGAUUAUUACCUAGAAGUGGUAAUUAAUCAUUAAAUGAAAGGUGAAAAAUGGGUGCUUGCUUUACAAGUGUGUGCCGUGUGUGGUUGUGUGUUUAUAUGUGUGAGUUUGGGGAUAUUUGCCCAAAUUAUAAAUAUGUGGUAAAUUGUGAUAUUUUUGUAAGUUUGUGGCACUUGAUUGAUAUUUGUGAUGUUAUGUGUGGGUCAUAAGCAUGAUUUCGAAAAGUUGCAUUAAAUGAUUUUUAAAUUGAAAGAUUAAUGGAAUAUCGGGUAAUAAACAACUCGGAUAUAGUGGGCCGGUAUCCAACUAGGAUGAUGUGUGUAGUGGUUUGAUCCCCACUUAGUGAAAACGGGCUCGUAACAGGUUAUUACUCAGGUACAGAAAUUAAUCUUUCACGGAUCCGAUAAAACGAAAAAUGUGUUUUUCAUGAUUUUCAUAAAAAGGACAUUUUAGUCAUUUUGCAUAAGUGCGUGAUUUUGUGUGAAUGAUGUGUUUUCGUGAGUUAUAUGAUUUGACCGAUUGCCUCGUGUUAUUGUACGGAACGUGGGUAAGAACGGGAAUACAAUAUUAUAUAUUAUAUAUAACGUAUUUUCAAAGUUCGAUAUUUACUCGGAUUUCUUACUGAGCUUUAUAGCUCAUAUAGAUGUCUUUUAAUUGCAGGUAAUAGUGUUAGAAAUCCUCAACCGGAAUGGGUCGAGUAGUGGAUCGAGGUCUUGCCCGGGUGUUUGGAAGUUGUACGAGGACCUAUGAACGAUGCUAAAGUGUUUUGGUUAUUCUCUUUUGGUGAUGUAAUAAUAAACCUAACUACUUUCCUUUUCGUACCUUUUAAACUCGCUACCGGUAUGAAUCGUACUUAACUCCUAUUAUAAAAUAGUCUGUUUCGUAAUUUUUGCUAUUUUCAUACCUCCAAUUGAAAUUUCUGAAUUAUUCACCAAAAUAACCUUUCCAAACUCUGAUUUCUUGUCGAACCGAAAACUGAUAAUGAUAAUGUAGCACUCGAACGAAAAACCUCCCCUCGAAACUUAUUUCCAAACGAAGCCUUUAUUUGGCUAAAGUAACCUAAGAGAGUUUUCGAAAAAUGCAAAGUUUUAAUAAUUUCAUUUUG
rnacentral:lncRNA from 1 species